CGGAGGGUGCGAGCGUUGUCCGGAAUCACUGGGCGUAAAGGGCGCGUAGGUGGCGCGGUGAGUCAACGGUGAAAGCUCGACGCUCAACGUCGAGUCGGCCGUCGAUACUGCCGCGCUGGAGCACUGUAGAGGCAGAUGGAAUUCCGGGUGUAGCGGUGGAAUGCGUAGAGAUCCGGAAGAACACCGGUGGCGAAGGCGGUCUGCUGGGCAGUAGCUGACACUGAGGCGCGACAGCGUGGGGAGCAAACAGGAUUAGAUACCCUGGUAGUCCACGCCGUAAACGAUGGGCACUAGGUGCUUGGGGGAGCGACCCUCUGAGUGCCGACGCUAACGCAUUAAGUGCCCCGCCUGGGGAGUACGGCCGCAAGGCUG
rnacentral:rRNA from 1 species